rnacentral:telomerase_RNA from 1 species
GCGGUUUUUUAUGGAUGUUAUUUGUCCGUUUCUCAAUGCCCUCCGAACCACGCGGAGAGGAAACAAAGACUUGUC